rnacentral:lncRNA from 1 species
GGUCAGAGCUAUCAUCAAAUGUGUCUGCAGAGGAGAACCAAAUAUGAUCAAAGGCAUUUCCGGUAGAUUUCUGUUGCAUGUCUAUCCUGGUGAAACCUUGAUAACUGAAAUGUGGCUUGAAGGUUCAAGGUAGGUUAAGUUUUUUCUUUUUCCUUACUCGAAUUCAUGAUACCUUGAUAACUGAAAUGUGGCUUGAAGGUUCAAGGUAGGUUAAGUUUUUUUUUUUUUUUUUUACCUUACUCGAAUUCAUGAUACUUAAUCUACGUUGGAGCUUACAAAUGUAGUGAAAUAUGCAGG